GUCGCACCUAGCCGGCGGCUGAUCACCCCGGCGAACAGCGGGAACCCUUCGCCCGCCGGUGCGACACCCCAUCGAAGG
rnacentral:ncRNA from 21 species